UAAAGNNNNUGACGGGGGCCCGCACAAGCGGUGGAGUAUGCGGUUUAAUUCGAUGCAACGCGAAGAACCUUNNNAGGCCUUGACAUCCCGUGCAAAGCUAUAGAGAUAUAGUGGAGGUUAUCAGGGUGACAGGUGGUGCAUGGUUGUCGUCAGCUUGUGUCGUGAGAUGUUGGGUUAAGUCCCGCAACGAGCGCAACCCCUAUCUUCAGUAGCCAGCGGUUUGNNNGGGCACUCUGGAGAGACUGCCAGGGAUAACCUGGAGGAAGGUGGGGANNNCGUCAAAUCAUCAUGCCCCUUAUGGGCAGGGAUACACAUGUGCUACAAUGGCGUAAACAAAGGGAGGCAGAGCCGCGANNNGGAGCAAAUCCCAAAAAUAACGUCUCAGUUCGNNNUGUAGUCUGCAACUCGACUACAUGAAGCUGGAAUCGCUANNNAUCGCGAAUCAGAAUGUCGNNNUGAAUACGUUCCCGGGUCUUGUACACACCGCCCGUCACACCAUGGGAGUCAGUAACGCCCGAAGUCAGUGACCCAACCGCAGGGAGGGAGCUGCCGAAGGCGGGACCGAUAAC
rnacentral:rRNA from 1 species